rnacentral:lncRNA from 1 species
UCUGAAGUCGGGGGGGUCGGCUUAUACACAGAUCGGCUUAAGGCGUGUUGUAACGAAGCUAGUUUACGAGUCGCUGGCGCUAGCAGAAAGCUAACUUGCCCAAUGUAAACAACCCCGCUAGCGAACAUGUCACUUGCCGGGAUAGUGGCAAGUAAAGUUGAAAUCCUGGCUACUUUACUGUCCACUUGCCGGCCACGUGACCUGCUUCCGGCUUCUACUGCCUCUGUGUAAACAGAGACAAACCCAUCAGCGGCUAGUCCCACGUGUGAGAUUAAGAUGUCUUCGAAAUGUAAUUCGGAAGAUAUUCUAAAAUUCCUCGAUAUAUACGACGAAUACGAAUGUCUGUGGAACAUUAGAUAUUCAGAUUAUCACAAUAAAUCCAUUCGAAAAAGUAGAAUGUCCAAAUUGUUGCAUGUAUUGUUACAAGAAAACCUUGUAAUAGAAAAUAUGGAAAGUUUAAGAAAAAAUAAAAGUGAUUAAAAAUGUGUGCCGGCAAGAAGUUUUAAAAAUAGAAAAAUCGAAGAAAAGCGGUGCAAGUGUGGAUGAUACAAUUUAGAUUUUGUAUGCGACACCCAAUAGAAAAUACAACUUGCCAGUACACAACUUGCGGCUUCUACUAGUCGCAUAUAAAUAAAAACUUUCCCUGUAAGUCGACUCG